rnacentral:lncRNA from 1 species
CGCGGAUUAAUCAUUGGAAUAUAAUUUGUCUUAUAAAUUUGAAAGGCUGGAGUCGACAUGACUAUAGGAUAUGAUAGACGUAUCCAUGUACAUGAUAUACUAUAUAUUUCUAAUUCUGUCUACCAAUAAUAUUCCAUUAUUGUGGGUGAUAUUUUAAAUCUUGGGCACAAGUCAAUAUACAUUAUGAUGGCUUUCCAUCUUUUGCACUAGGAGUCAUAUUUUGUAAUGACAAUGAUAGUUCCACAUAUGGAGCUACAAAUAAACACCAAUAGUGAUAAUUUUUCUAAUAAUAUUAUUCUCUUUGCACAAUACAUAGCAAGUAUUUUUCUAUAAAUUUUAAUAUGUUUCAUAUAUAUGUUAUAUUCAACACGAUUCAAAAAGCAAGAAGCACGAUAAUUAUAUCUAUCUUCAUGCCCAAAAUUUUUUUAUACAUAAUUUAUCCUUAGAAUCAUGCCAUAUUAACUUAUAUAAUUCUUACCAAAUGUAUGUGUUGACUUGAUGUAUGUAUAAAGGGAAUUGAUACUUGUAUACUGUAGGGUGCAUAUAGGGGUUUACAACCCUUCACGUGAAGAAGGGCUGCAUAAUUUAUUGUACGCGGGUUACUCUUCAUGUGAGGGGGUUAAACUCUUAUCUACACCAUUAUCUAUGUAUAUCAUCACUUAUGUAUAGAACUAUUUGGUGACUUUUAGGUCUCUAAUAUAUAAUUUGACCAAAACGGUAGUUACAUAAAACUUCAAAAGAUUUUACUGAUCCCGGUCCCAUUUAAUGAUUUUCUAACCAUGAACCAAAACUUUUUGCAUAAGAUUAUUGGAGAAAGGAAUCAACUGGUGCACCUAAAUGUCCCGACUAGUUCAACACUUCUUUAGCACCUUAAGAGUCUACCCCAAUCCAAAAAGAUUGACGAGUAGAGAUAUCGAUCAACAUAACCUAUCAGAAAAAAAAAAAAAAAAAAAAACCCGCGUUCGAUUAACAUCUCUGGUUACAUCUACUGAAAGAUCUAACCGUACAGAGUCAUAAACAUGGCAUUUAUUCAAUGAAACGGUACCUGCAGAUUAUUGUUGGAAAGGUCAAAUUUGCAGAUGGUCCCUAGAUUGAGAAGAGGGUUAGGCAGAGCCUCCAAAGACAUCCCACUAAGAUCAACAAUUUCAAGCUUUUGUUCUUCAUUUGAUGAUUUUCUUCUCCUAUCUUGGGACCUCUUCUUCAUGUCCAUCCUCUGGUGUCGCUGCUCGUACAUCAUCUUUACAUACAAACGGAGCCUGUAUGUAUAUUUAUAUAUGAAUAUAGAUUAUAGAUACAGAAGGGGCUGGAGUGGGCGGAG